rnacentral:rRNA from 1 species
CGCUAGCUACAGGCUUAACACAUGCAAGUCGAGGGGUAGCAUGGUCUUAGCUUGCUAAGGCCGAUGGCGACCGGCGCACGGGUGAGUAACGCGUAUCCAACCUGCCUUACACUCUUGGACAGCCUUCUGAAAGGGAGAUUAAUACAAGAUGUUAUCAUGAGUAAGCAUUUUCGCAUGAUUAAAGGUUUACCGGUGUAAGAUGGGGAUGCGUUCCAUUAGAUAGUAGGCGGGGUAACGGCCCACCUAGUCUUCGAUGGAUAGGGGUUCUGAGAGGAAGGUCCCCCACAUUGGAACUGAGACACGGUCCAAACUCCUACGGGAGGCAGCAGUGAGGAAUAUUGGUCAAUGGACGAGAGUCUGAACCAGCCAAGUAGCGUGAAGGAUGAAGGUUCUAUGGAUUGUAAACUUCUUUUAUACGGGAAUAAACGGAUCCACGUGUGGAUUUUUGCAUGUACCGUAUGAAUAAGGAUCGGCUAACUCCGUGCCAGCAGCCGCGGUAAUACGGAGGAUCCGAGCGUUAUCCGGAUUUAUUGGGUUUAAAGGGAGCGUAGAUGGGUUGUUAAGUCAGUUGUGAAAGUUUGCGGCUCAACCGUAAAAUUGCAAUUGAUACUGGCAGUCUUGAGUACAGUUGAGGUAGGCGGAAUUCGUGGUGUAGCGGUGAAAUGCUUAGAUAUCACGAAGAACUCCGAUUGCGAAGGCAGCUUACUAACCUGUAACUGACAUUGAUGCUCGAAAGUGUGGGUAUCAAACAGGAUUAGAUACCCUGGUAGUCCACACGGUAAACGAUGAAUACUCGCUGUAGGCGAUAUACAGUCUGCGGCCAAGCGAAAGCAUUAAGUAUUCCACCUGGGGAGUACGCCGGCAACGGUGAAACUCAAAGGAAUUGACGGGGGCCCGCACAAGCGGAGGAACAUGUGGUUUAAUUCGAUGAUACGCGAGGAACCUUACCCGGGCUUAAAUUGCAACCGAAUAUGGCGGAAACGCUAUAGCUAGCAAUAGCGGUUGUGAAGGUGCUGCAUGGUUGUCGUCAGCUCGUGCCGUGAGGUGUCGGCUUAAGUGCCAUAACGAGCGCAACCCUUGCCGAUAGUUACUAACAGGUUAUGCUGAGGACUCUGUCGGGACUGCCAUCGUAAGAUGUGAGGAAGGUGGGGAUGACGUCAAAUCAGCACGGCCCUUACGUCCGGGGCUACACACGUGUUACAAUGGGGGGUACAGAGGGCUGCUACCACGCAAGUGGAUGCCAAUCCCAAAAACCUCUCUCAGUUCGGAUUGAAGUCUGCAACCCGACUUCAUGAAGCUGGAUUCGCUAGUAAUCGCGCAUCAGCCACGGCGCGGUGAAUACGUUCCCGGGCCUUGUACACACCGCCCGUCAAGCCAUGGGAGCCGGGGGUACCUGAAGUGCGUAACCGCAAGGAGCGCCCUAGGGUAAAACUGG